GGGCGUGUGGUCUAGUGGUAUGAUUCUCGCUUUGGGCGAACAUGGAUAAAAUCCGUGUGAACAAUCACAAGCAUGCGAGAGGCCCUGGGUUCAAUUCCCAGCUCGCCCC
rfam:Candida glabrata strain CBS138 chromosome G complete sequence.